rnacentral:misc_RNA from 1 species
AAGUCGUAACAAGGUUUCCGUAGGUGAACCUGCGGAAGGAUCAUUCACAAUAAGUGUUUAAUGGCACUUUCAAAUCCAUUACCCACCUUGUGUGCACUGUAGAUGAGGGAAGAAGGACUUGUUCUCCUUUCCCUUGUCAUACUUACAUACCUAUUUUUCUUGAUUGUCUACAAUUUGAGUAAUAAAAAAACUCGAAUACAACUUUCAACAACGGAUCUCUUGGCUCUCG